CCAUCUGUUAUAAAAAAUGCAAUAUAUAUAUAUUUGUGGCGGAAUUUACAUCACUUUAAUUGAUAUAAUAAUAUCAUUCAUAAACAGAUAUGUAUGCACAAAAUUUACAAAUAUUUACAAAUCAAUGUAUAAUUAAUCUGUCUGCAUUCUCCCUAGUUACUUCACUUUCUUCCCUAUGGAAGAGAUUAACUUAUUUCUCAUCAUGUGCCCAAUGCCAGGGCUAUGUCCUGGCGUCGUAGGCCGGAAAUCUUCCAAGAAACUAGCCACGAGUUUCGCCUCCACCUCUUUAUCACCACGACGUGAUAAAGUUGAACGCCGUUUUAUCACGCUCUUGGCAUCUUUCAAUCGCCUCCCUUCUAGAACAAUUGUUUCUGAAAGGACAAUCAGUAUCAUCAGAAUACACAAAGUCUUUGCAAUUGUACCCAUGGGGGUGGGAGCGAUAUUAGAGAUCGAAACAAAGAGCUCUGGCUAGAUCAACAAAGAGAUCGAGCUCGACUAGCUAGCUAGAAAUUAACAUCGAAGAUUUAUAAGAAGAAAAGUGACCUAAUUAGACAUUAUUAUCCAAAAAAGAUGAUCAAUCCACUAAAUUGAAAUCAUGAAUCCCUUUUUAAGUGGGUAGUACUUAAAACAUUUGAGAACAAGAUCGACCUCUAGCGACAACAUAGUGGAGGAUCAAAAAAUAACAAUUCUUCUUCCUUUUUAGUAUAUUUUGAAUAGCAACCUAUUUAGUGCUUGCUUAAUUAAUUAAAGAACAUACAUGCAUUCCCUUUCUAUGUUAAUUUUUAUACCAACCAAGAGAUAAGAGUGUGCAAAUAUAUCUAAUCAAUUAAACCAAAUCCAAAUCCAAAUCUCUCUACAAAAUAAGAUAUUAUUUAUCAAUUAAGAUGGAGAGGUUGUCUCUUUUUUAUUUGAAAUUAAAUUAUCUACAAUAUAACACAAGGAGAUUAACUAAACUAAUCACAUUAACUAUGAAAGUUUCUAAAGAUUCAUGAUUCAUUAUCAAAAAAAAAUUAUCGCGAACCCAAUAGGUGCCAAGAAUAUCAUACAUUCGUAUGCCUAAAGCUCUAUUGGCGUGAACAACUAAUGGGUUAGCGAGAAAGAAGUUCAGAGAAACAGAGAAUGAGGCAAAUGGAAAAGAAAACCGACGACCGGAGGUGAGAGAAGGGGAUAACCAAGAUCAACAAUUAAUAGAGUCGACGCUCCAAAUAAUUGAGGACGGAGGUAGGAUUCGAUCAGCCAGAUCAAAACAUGGGACAAAAUCAUCUCCGACUACCGUGAUCACAAGAGGUAAGAAAAUGUCAAAAAAAUAAAUUGAAACAAAUGGCAAGGAGGGAGCCGGCAUGACAGAGCAGGUCGCGAAGAAAAUGUCGCGCAAAGGCAGGUCAGAUUACCUCAUAGAACCAGAAGACAACGAGAUUGAGGGAUCACCGAAAAGGCCAACCGACAGCUGGAUUUCUCAGAAGCAAUUGAUCAGGAAGGAGAAUCGGAGGGAGAAUAUGAGCACGGGAAAAUUAUUUGGGAGAGAUCACCAUUGGAGAAACCACAUGGCGAUGCUCACCAGUCAAAAGACCUCCGGCGAGCCAAAUUUGACCAAGACAUACAUUCCUAAAUAUGAAAGUGAACAAAUUGGACCAGGAUUAGUCAAACGGAUAGAAAUUUGACCAAGACUGGUCAAUUAAAGGGCGAUAUCAGUCAAAUAUCAAUCCCAAUUUUGACCGAGAUCGGUAAGAUGGGUCAAAUCUCCCCAACGACCAAGAGUCAAUUUGGAAAAAAUAUCCCAAAUUUGAUCAAGAUAAAUCAAACCCCCUAAUUUUGACAAAGAAUGAAAGUGGCCAAACCUCAAUUUUGACUGAGAUCUGUAAAUUCCCUCAAAGCAAGAUGGGUCAAAUCAGCCCAAUUUUAACCAAGGGGGAAUUCAGUCAAAUCGAACCAAGUUUGACGAAGAUUAGUCAAAUAAACCCAAUAUUGACCAAGAAAUUUGGUCAAAGAGUCCCAAUUUGGACCAACGUGGCCAAAACAAGGAAACGUGGUCAAAAAAGUGUAACGUUGACCAGAGAGGG
rnacentral:lncRNA from 1 species